rnacentral:rRNA from 1 species
AUUGAACGCUGGCGGCAGGCCUAACACAUGCAAGUCGAGCGAGCGGCGGACGGGUGAGUAAUGUAUGGGGACUGCCCGAUAGAGGGGGAUAACUACUGGAAACGGUGGCUAAUACCGCAUACUAUCGGAUAACCCUUGUGGGAUUAGCUAGUAGGUGGGGUAAAGGCUCACCUAGGCGACGAUCUCUAGCUGGCCGGAGAGGCUGAUCGGCCACACUGGGACUGAGACACGGCCCAGACUCCUACGGAGGCAGCAGUGGGGAAUAUUGCACAAUGGUCGCAAGCCUGAUGGAGCAAUGCCGCGUGUAUGAAGAAGGCCUUAGGGUUGUAAAGUUCUUUCAGCGGGGAGGCGUUACCCGCACAGAAAGCCCCGGCUAACUCCGUGCCAGCAGCCGCGGUAAUAC